UAGUAGACUGCAUGAUUUAUUUCAGCUUUUAUUUCUUUCAUCACAUUCCCAGUGGGUCAGAAGUUUACAAACACUCAAUUAUUAUUUGGUAGAAUUGCCUUUAAAUUGUUUAACUUGGGUCAAACGUUUCAGGUAGCCUUCCACAAGCUUAUAUCAAUAUUUGCAUAAAGGCUUUUCCACCACCAUUUCUCGCAUAAUGAAUUUUACUGACGCGAAAAGAUCCCACCAUGUCAAACGAACAAUUGAUCUGUCGGCAUUUAUAAAAUUGUACUGAAACAGGACCAGUGGAAGCAAAAUAGCUGCCUAACAUAAAGAUGCACCACCAUAUUUUACCGUAGGUAUGAGCUACUUUUCUGCAUAUGCUUCUGUGUUUUUUACGCCAAACCCACCAUUGAUGUGCGUGGCCAAAUAGUUAUAUUUUCAUGUCAUCUGACCAUAGCACCGCCUGGAGUUUGAUAAACGGCAUUGGCACAGAUUGGAACCGGUGCUAUGGUCAGAUGACAUGAAAAUAGAUUUUUUUUAAAAGAACACCUGGGUUGCCUUGAGUGGCAGCGUCCUCCCUCACAACAACAGAGUUUCUCCCAGCUUUGCAGCCACCAUUGUUCCCGCUAGAGAUCCAGCUCAGCACACAAGUACCGCUGCCCGGAAAGCAAGGAGCUGGCCGCACCCCAGCAGGUGACAGGGUGAAGAUGGUCCCGAGAGAGGUUCAGACCCAAGAACCAGAGGGGAUGCGCCUACCAGCCGAGUAAGAGGCCAAGAGCCUGAGGGCUGUGCAGCCAAGAAGAGAGUGUAUCCAGGGAAGGUUUCUCUGCAGUGCCAUCCCACUUUGAGAACUUCAAGGGAAAGGGCAACUGGGCCAAUAAAAUAGUUUUCUCCACAGCUAAAGAAAGCAUGGUUAGGCAGCCAGUCAGUAUCCCCUCACUCUCUAGAAUCAGUAAUUCCUUCUCCCUUACCACAGGUAGUGAGUUCAGUAUGUACCAUACCCCAAGUGUUAAAUGUGAAUUAGGGCACCCUGUACAGUUGGUUGGCCCCACUAGACAGGCAGAAAAGUGUAUAUUAGAAGAUAUGACCAUAAGCAAAGUUCUCCCGUUUAUCACAAGCACGCACAUUCACACAAAUAUUCCUUCUCUGCCUCGCAAAUGCACGCAGAAGAAAAUUAUAAUGAGCCCUACACAACCCAUUGUUGAGCCUGGGAGAAUGGUAGAUCAAAUAACUCUGUCGUCUCCUCCUACUCUGGUGGGGAGAGUAGCAUAGCACGUGCAGAGCACGUGCAGAGCACUCUGGGUGCUAUGUAUGAUUACAGAGGGCUACAUGCUCCAAUUCGCAAAAAGGCCAGCAGGGUUCAGUGGUGUCAUGGUCUCCACGGUAACACAGCAGACCGCAAAGAUAUUGCAACAGGAAGUAGAUUCCCUAUUGGCCAAUUGAGCUAUUCAUAUGAUCCCUCCCUCAAAAACAGGUGAAGGACAUUACGGUCAAUAUUUCCUGAUUCCAAAGAAGGGUGGGGGUCUCAGACAGAUCCUAGACCUCCACCGCCUAAACGGAUGCCUAAAGAAGCUACCCUUUCGCAUGCUUACAUACUACAAACAGUUAGUCCAGAGUAUACGUCAGGGCAAUUGAUGUGUCAGUAGAUCUGCAAACGCAUACUUCCAUAUUCCAAUAGCAACGUGACACAGAACAUUUUAAGGUUUGUUUUCAAAGAUAAGGUAACAUUUUGCCAAAAGCUGGUCAGCUGUCUCUCCAUGGAUGGCACACCUAGCAGAGGGGGUGCUGUUAGGUCCCAUUCUGUGUCGUCAUGUGAUAACAAUGGACGGGGUGCAUUGUGCGAGGGCCGGAUGGCAAUUUGCAUGUGGAAGGGUACACAGGCACAUCUUCUCAUACAUGUGCUGGAACUCAAGGCUGUUCUCUUUCAGUCAGUCAACUUCGGUACAACAUACUAUGGGAAGUCGCAUUCUCGUGACUUCAGUUGAAACUGUCUUACGUUGCACCAACUAAACUGUCCUUUAGUGGUAGAGCGUGCUCACCCACAGGACGUUGUGUGCUGAAGUUUGUAUGGUACUCAUAAGUUUCCUAAUCACAGACAAUUAGUUAUUUUUUUAAUUGCUUGGCCUGGCUAUAGCAAUAAGUAAGAUGGCUAAUGCGACCAAAACGAUAAAGGCUAACAAGCCCGGUUUUGGUUCAUGACCAUGUUCCAAUGAAUUAAAAGAUACACAUGUUGGUUGUCUUGUAAGUCUCGGUUCAGGCGCAGGCUGCCCUCGCUCGAAUCAGUUCAUGUGUGAGACUAGGGGACUGAUUGCAUUGUUCUCCUACUAGUCCACGGUGCAGGUUCUCUUGACAAUCAUGUAGCAUUCUUUAGGGGGCUUGGUGUUUCCGAUAGUGACUUCAGCCGUACCUCGGCUGAGUCUGAGUUGCAGGACGAGGAGAUGGUUUGGGUUGUUGGUAUGGUCAAAUGUCUCCUGUGCUCUCUGUCACUGGUUACGGGGGGCUACUCAAAGAGAGAGGGUGAACAGGUUAUGUGGGUAUCCCCCCCGCCUGUGUCUGCCUUGGUUAAGCACAGCUUGCCUCUCUUCCCAGACGUGUCUGGGUCCUACCUUGGUGCUCCGGUCCUACGUAGACUUUCAAGACCUGACUUGCUAACAAACACAUCAUAGUGUGCUAGCCAGGUUAGCUAACACGCCGGGGUGAGAUAGAUACUAGUAGCUAUUCCUGCCUCCCCACAAUUUAGUUUCUUGAGUAGCUCUCUUAUUUAGUACACAUGGCGUUAAGUCGCUUGGUUAUUCUAAAACGGACAGUGCUACAGUCUAUGAGGCUAGCUAGUCUAGCUUAGACUAAAGAGCCUCCUGGCUAACGCCGGCUAGCAUGCAUAACUUCCGGUGAAUGAAGCUUACUAGCGUUCCCCCUCCACUAUCGCAACCCCAUUCCUAUUUUAAAUUCCUGUAGUUGGAGGGAGUAGAGAAAGCAGGGCUUGCGUGCUCCGCUGAUGAGGAAAUAGACACUGAGUAGCUGCGCCACUCCACAAAAAGAUUGUUGUGACGACAGUGCCCUAUGUGCCCAUAAGGGGGCCGGGCUUCAUGCAGGCUAUACAGUCUCACGGAAACACAACAUGUGUUGGAAGUUUGUCCAUGUUAUG
rnacentral:lncRNA from 1 species